CCCCUGGUGAAGUCUAGGCAGUGAUGAUGGAACCCACUCCCCAGGACAAGGGCCAUAUACGCUGUUCAGGCAGCACCAGCUCCCAUUUCCUGUCUCUGGUCACCCAGGUGCCCACUGCUUCCCACAGGAAGAGACUGAGAUCCUCGCAGUAGAUAGUAUAGCCCAUGCCACCCUGUCCCCCUUCCAGCAGGUCCAGUACAAAGAGGAGACCUGUGGCUGUUAGGGUCACCUGGAGAAGGGCUUCCUUCCCAGUUGGCUCACAGGGGUUGCCUGUACUCCAGAUCUCACAUCCUAUGGUCCAGAUACACAGUAUUGCAUCUGCCGAUCCCAACCUAAUCAACACAAUGAGUACCACUUCAGCAUGCUUCACUUCAGACUGUGUCCAGAGACUUCAGGGGUGGAAUGACAACCCUUCAGCUUCAUUACUUAGCCACCAGGUUCCAGAUGCUAGCAUGAUGCCAAUCAGACUUCCCUGGACAGAUGACACCACCAGUGUGUUCUGGAGCUCCAAUUCCCCAGAGCCCCAACUUACUAGGGAAAUAGAGAGACAGGCUGGGAGUAUGGACCGACCAGUCAAUGCUCAUGUUCAGCAGGGAAGCAAUUACAGAAGCCAGACCUUCCACCUUCUGCAUCCCACAAUGAUCUUGGGUCCAUACUCCCAGAGAGAUAGAGAAUGGGAAAGCUAUCAGGGGAGGGGAUGGGAUAUGGAGAUCUGGUGGUGGGAAUUGUGUGGAGUUGUACCCCUCUUAUCCUACGGUUUUGUUAAUGUCUCCUUUCUUAAAUAAAUUUUUAAAAAAUUUUAAAAAAAAGAAGUAGGGAGAGAGAGACGGGAAGCACAGUUCCAUGGGCUUUGAAGGAGAAGGAGAUGGAGCCCAGGUUGUGGGUGGCCUCUCUGAAGCAGAAAAGAGGGAGGGGAGCCAGACACUGGUGCACUUGGUUGAGCGCACACAUCACCAAGUGCAAAGACCUGGGUUCAAGCUCUUAGUCCUCACCUGCAGGGGGGGAAGCUUCACAAGUAGUGAAGAAGUGUUGCAGGUGUCUCUCUGCCUUUUGAUUUUCCUCCCCCUUUUAUCUCUGUCUUGUUGAAUAAAAUGGAGGGAAAAAAUGGCCGCCAGGAGUGGCAGAUUUGUAGUGUCAGCCCUGAGCCCCAGUGAUAACUCAGGAAGCAAAAAAAGAAAGAGAGAGCAAGAGAGAGA